GACAGAGGGUGCAAACGUUGCUCGGAAUCACUGGGCGUAAAGGGCGUGUAGGCGGGAAGGUAAGUCGGGCGUGAAAUCCCUGGGCUUAACUCCGAAACUGCAUUCGAUACUGCCGUGCUUGAGGACUGGAGAGGAGACUGGAAUUUACGGUGUAGCGGUGAAAUGCGUAGAUAUCGUAAGGAAGACCAGUGGCGAAGGCGGGUCUCUGGACAGUUCCUGACGCUGAGGCACGAAGGUCAGGGGAGCAAACGGG
rnacentral:rRNA from 1 species